rnacentral:rRNA from 1 species
UCUCCUGGAAAACGGGUGGUAAUACCGGAUGCUCCGCUCCAUCGCAUGGUGGGGUGGGAAAUGCUUUUGCGGCAUGGGAUGGGGUCGCGUCCUAUCAGCUUGUUGGCGGGGUGAUGGCCCACCAAGGCGUUGACGGGUAGCCGGCCUGAGAGGGUGACCGGCCACAUUGGGACUGAGAUACGGCCCAGACUCCUACGGGAGGCAGCAGUGGGGAAUAUUGCACAAUGGGCGCAAGCCUGAUGCAGCGACGCCGCGUGCGGGAUGGAGGCCUUCGGGUUGUAAACCGCUUUUGUUCAAGGGCAAGGCACGGUUUCGGCCGUGUUGAGUGGAUUGUUCGAAUAAGCACCGGCUAACUACGUGCCAGCAGCCGCGGUAAUACGUAGGGUGCGAGCGUUAUCCGGAUUUAUUGGGCGUAAAGGGCUCGUAGGCGGUUCGUCGCGUCCGGUGUGAAAGUCCAUCGCCUAACGGUGGAUCUGCGCCGGGUACGGGCGGGCUGGAGUGCGGUAGGGGAGACUGGAAUUCCCGGUGUAACGGUGGAAUGUGUAGAUAUCGGAAAAGAACACC